CCUACGUGUGGCAGCAGUGGGGAAUAUUGCACAAUGGGGGAAACCCUGAUGCAGCGACGCCGCGUGAGUGAAGAAGUAAUUCGUUACGUAAAGCUCUAUCAGCAGGGAAGAAACACUGACCUUACGGUCAGCAGACGGUACCUGAGUAAGAAGCCCCGGCUAACUACGUGCCAGCAGCCGCGGUAAUACGUAGGGGGCAAGCGUUAUCCGGAUGUACUGGGUGUAAAGGGAGCGUAGACGGUGCGCCAAGUCUGGAGUUAAAUGCCGCAGCUUAACUGCGGAACUGCUUUGGAAACGGGCGAACUAGAGUGCGGGAGGGGUAAGCGGAAGUCCUAGUGUAGCGGUGAAACGCGGAGAUAUUAGGAGGAACACCGGUGGCGAAGGCGGCUUACUGGACCGUAACUGACGUUGAGGCUCGAAAGCGUGGGGAGCAAACAGGAGUAGAUACCCCUGUAGUG
rnacentral:rRNA from 1 species